rnacentral:rRNA from 1 species
GACGAACGCUGGCGGCGUGCUUAACACAUGCAAGUCGAACGGCAAGGCCCUGCUUUUGUUGGGUGCUCGAGUGGCGAACGGGUGUGUAACACGUGAGUAACCUGCCCUUGACUGUGGGACAACUUCAGGGAACUGGGGAUAAUACCGGAUACGAGCUCCUGCUGCAGGGGGGGGGUUGGAAAGUUUCGGCGGGUGGGGAUGGACUCGCGGCUUAUCAGCUUGUUGGUGGGGAAGGGGCUUACCAAGGCUUUGGCGGGUAGCCGGCCUGAGAGGGUGGCCGGCCACAUUGGGCCUGAGGUACGGCCCAGACUCCUACGGGGGGCAGCGGUGGGGACUAUUGCACAAUGGGCGGAAGCCUGAUGCAGCAACGCCGCGGGCGGGAUGACGGCCUUCGGGUUGUAAACCGCUUUCGCCUGUGACGAAGCGUGAGUGACGGUAAUGGGUAAAGAAGCACCGGCUAACUACGUG